AAAAAAUAAGAAGAAAAAAAUUACAUUACAAAUAUUUUAAAAAAAUAUAUAUUUUAUUAGAGUGAUUUUAAUAUUAAAAAUAUAAUAGUUGAAUGAGAAAAAUAUCACAAGUUAAUUACGAUAAAAUAAGAAGAAAAAAUUACAUUACACACCUUUUUAAAAAAAAUACAGUUUAUUAGAGUGGUUUUAAGAACCAAAUUGAAUAUAUUCAGUUUGAUUUUAUUUGGUUUUAAAAUGAUCCAUAGUCCUAAUGAAACAUUUUAUUCACUUCACAU
rnacentral:lncRNA from 1 species